AAAUGGUAAAACCCGAGGUGUUUUUGGAACAGACUGCAGACGUCAUUGGUAAGACCAAAAUGUAGAAGGAAUCCUGACAGAACUUACAUCUGCAAGGGGAAUUAUGCUGCAACCUGGGCAGAGAAGAAGUUUCUCCAAAAGCUCAGAUCCUUCCUCAUUUCCUGACAUCUAAGAAAGGUCCAGAGGCAUAAAACGAAAUAAGCUCAGAGUAGAUGUUGGCAUCAUUGGAAGAGUUGGGAAUGGCAGAUGUGAAGUGCUAUGAACUGACUGCAAAUCCCAUUCCCCAUCCCCCUGCACUGCUUGACGGGAAGCAAAAAAAUUUAAAGUGAAGUUGAACCUGAGAAGAAGAGAGAGGAUUUUGGACGUGGCUGAAGCAUGACUGUUAAAGGAACAUCUUGCAGUGGCCCUUUCCUUGCACGGUUGUGAAGACCAAGCAUAUGAAUUAAUGGAAACAGAAGACACAUGAAUAGAUUUGCAUAGAAGUUGCAUGGUACAGCAAGUUAACCUUUGUGUACCACUAGUUAGGCACCACUGACUUUUAAAUCUUUAACAAAGAUGCCAUUUCUGAAGUCAAAACUUUCAAAUCUACAUAAACUCUGUAGAAGCCAGGUGCAACUAUUAUCAAUUGCUGUGGAAUUGAGCUACUCCAGCUUAACAGACAGCUCAUUUCCUGUAAGAAACCAGGCAAAUACCAAUCUAGAAGAAUUUUCUGUUAUUGACUUGCAGAGAAACCUGCCAGGAAAUUUUCAUUUGCUCAGCCUCCAUCCCUCGGAGUAGCAUGCUGUGGCUUUUCUGGUUUUAAUAACUCAUCUUUGUGAAUUAUUAUUGCUGCAUUUGAAACAUAGGACACAGAGAUUCCAAUCUUAAUUAGUCAUCUGAUGCACUGCAACUGUAAAUGGGAUAAUUUUCAGGAAAUUAACAUUCCCAAAUUGUGCAGUCAAAUAUAUUUCUUUGUUAUAAGAUGUGGUCAGUGUAGCUGCAAUUGUGCCACCAAGUCCUUGGGAUUUUUUGAGGGUCUUGUAGUACCCUCAGGCAUGUGGUAUGAGAGUGUCAGGUUGUAUCAUUUGAAAAGGUCAAUGAAAGUAAAAUGCUGUAUUUUUCCUUUUGUAGCAAAAAAGCUGAAAACUGUAAACAUUGCAUGCAUUCACCUCUUUUUUUUUAAAUCUUUUAUUAAUAAAACAAUCUAAUAUUUCUAGGGAAUCAUGAAAAGUUGAAUGUGCAUCACUGCUGCGUACAGGUACCAGCUUGUCCUGACAGAUGAAGAAAAAUCCUAGGCAUGCAGGUGCCCAUUUUACAUAUUUAGGCCAUUUUUUUUACCCAGCCAGACUUCCAAGAAUUGAGCCUGUGUAUACUAAUGAGCCUCUAAACUGAUGAUGCAUCUAUUUGUGAGCCAAAAAUUCUGCCUGUAGAAACUUUGAUUGGAGGUUCUUUGAAGAGCUGGAGCCAUAAAAGUUGCAUCUGGAAUUGGAUAUCAAAUAGGGAGAAAAGGUGGAAGGCUUCUGUCUCAGAUAUGUAACCCUUUAA